rnacentral:tRNA from 1 species
GGGUCUGUAGCUCAGUCGGUUAGAGCACCGUCUUGAUAAGGCGGGGGUCGUUAGUUCGAAUCCAACCAGACCCACCA